UGGGGAAUAUUGCACAAUGGGCGCAAGCCUGAUGCAGCGACGCCGCGUGAGGGAUGACGGCCUUCGGGUUGUAAACCUCUUUCAGCAGGGACGAAGCGCGAGUGACGGUACCUGCAGAAGAAGCACCGGCCAACUACGUGCCAGCAGCCGCGGUAAUACGUAGGGUGCGAGCGUUGUCCGGAAUUACUGGGCGUAAAGAGCUCGUAGGCGGUUUGUCGCGUCGUCUGUGAAAUUCUGCAGCUUAACUGCAGGCGUGCAGGCGAUACGGGCAGACUUGAGUACUACAGGGGAGACUGGAAUUCCUGGUGUAGCGGUGAAAUGCGCAGAUAUCAGGAGGAACACCGGUGGCGAAGGCGGGUCUCUGGGUAGUAACUGACGCUGAGGAGCGAAAAGCGUGGGUAGCGAACAGGAUUAGAUACCCUGGUAGUCCACGCCGUAAACGGUGGGUACUAGGUGUGGGUUCCAUUUCACGGGAUCCGUGCCGUAGCUAACGCAUUAAGUACCCCGCCUGGGGAGUACGGCCGCAAGGCU
rnacentral:rRNA from 1 species